AGGAGAGAAAAUUGCGGGUCACGUUGCCUGGUGCACAGUGACCGUUCCGCACACGGUGGGUCUUCUUGUUCCUUUGAAUAGUGCUUUCUUAGUAUUAUGCUACUACUAACAAUUUUUAAAAAAAAAUUGGAGGAAUGAGAUGUGGGAACGCAGAAGAAGUCCACGUGGAGGACUCAGGAGAGCAGCAGCUGCUGGACUUGGCGUUGACCUUGAGGCGCAGUAACAAUAUAAUUACCGUAUGCAGUCCCCCAGGAUACAGGGUCAAAGGAGAGCACAACCAUCGCAGUUGGAAGCCCAUGGGGCAGAAGCAAGGUCUCGCUGUGUUACCCUGGCUGGAGUGCAGUGGCUACUUACAGGCAUGAUCAUAGCAUACUGCAGCCUCGAACUCCUGGACUAGAGCAGUUCUCCUGCCUCAGCCUCCAGAGCAGCUGGGACUGCAGACACGCACCACAGAGCCCAGCCUGAGUCAUUUUGAUUCUGUAACUGGCUUCCUCUCGGCGGGCAGGCUCACACCCUCCACCCCCAGCUGGAGAUGGAAGGAGGAUGCUCACCGCCCAUUCCUCAUGCAGGCCAUCGAUGGAAAUGUCAGACAGUGCGAGUCCACGCCUGAACACUUCUGGGGUCCGCUCUGGGACUGACACUGGCAGAUCCAUCGGUGAGCUCCCGCCUGCCACCUCUGGGCCUGCAUUGCGGUGAUAGGGCCAAGGGCCUGGGCCUUCAAUUCUCCAGACUUGCCAAAAUGCUCAGCGCAGGCCUCGUCGGCAACUGCAGACAAGCAGAGGCAGCACCUGGGCUCUGCCUGUGCCUGGCACAGUGAAGCGAGGGUGGGGGCAGGAAUGAGGGUCCUCUCCAUGCAAGGGGGGAAGAUAGAAGAACAAAAUUUCACCCUAAUGUAGUGUCUUUAGACCGUGCAAUGUUGUGCUCCUGUUAGUCUGAUAUCAGGGGCUUGCAGCCUGGCAAAGGAAAAAAAACAGGCUGAGGCACAUGAUAGAAGACAGGCAGGGAUGCCACAAUCAUAACCAUGGCAAAGACCAGGAUCAGAAAGGCCCACCAUCUCUGACCCCAAAUCCCUGGGCAGAUGGUUCCAGAACUCAGAAUUUUCCCAGUUGUAGAAAGAUGGGGCCAGGUGCAGUGGCUCACGCCUGUAAUCCCAGCAUUUUGGGAGUACAAGGUGGGCGGAUCACCUGAGGUCAGGAGUUCGAGACCAGCCUGGCCAACAUGGUGAAACCCUGUCUCUACUAAAAAAAAAAAAAAAAA
rnacentral:lncRNA from 1 species